UCCAGGUUUUGUGUAAACGAGUUAAUAACAGAAACAUUUCUGAAAGUGGUUUUGGACAAGAUCAAGGCGGAGAAAGAGUCUAUGGGACAUGAACUCCUGCAGUCUCUCUGUAGGGUUUAUGUGGGAUUGUGUCAAAAGAGAGGAGACUCUCAUAAAGCACAUGCCCUCGCCUACAGAUUUCUUAAAGAAGACUUUUCUGAAGCCCCAAAACUGAUAAUGGUCAUGGUGGCAGCAUAACCAAGUGUUUUCUCCCAAAACAGCCCUUUUUGCAGAGCCAUUCACAUCGUGUGCAAAAUAAGGGCAUACGGAAAGAUUUAUUACUUGCUCAGCAAAUAUCUGCACUGGCAUACGGCGAUGCUGAAGGUCUGGAGGUGGUUGAAACAUACACCUGAUUCAAAGAAUCUGAAAAACAACAAGAAAUACGUCACACACUUUAACAGCAGGAGCAAGAAGCACCAAGUCUUCAGAAUGCAGCCACAGCAUUAUUCACAUAUCAGC